AAAGGAAUUGACGGGGGCCCGCACAAGCGGCGGAGCAUGCGGAUUAAUUCGAUGCAACGCGAAGAACCUUACCAAGGCUUGACAUGAACCGGUAAUACCUGGAAACAGGUGCCCCGCUUGCGGUCGGUUUACAGGUGGUGCAUGGUUGUCGUCAGCUCGUGUCGUGAGAUGUUGGGUUAAGUCCCGCAACGAGCGCAACCCUCGUUCUAUGUUGCCAGCGCGUUAUGGCGGGGACUCAUAGGNNNCNNCCGGGGUCAACUCGGAGGAAGGUGGGGACGACGUCAAAUCAUCAUGCCCCUUAUGUCUUGGGCUUCACGCAUGCUACAAUGGCCGGUACAAAGGGUUGCGAUACUGUGAGGUGGAGCUAAUCCCAAAAAGCCGGUCUCAGUUCGGAUUGGGGUCUGCAACUCGACCCCAUGAAGUCGGAGUCGCUAGUAAUCGCAGAUCAGCAACGCUGCGGUGAAUACGUUCCCGGGCCUUGUACACACCGCCCGUCAAGUCANGAAAGUUGGUAACACCCGAAGCCGGUGGCCUAACCCUUGUGGGGGGAGCCGUCGAAGGUGGGACCGGCGAUU
rnacentral:rRNA from 1 species